rnacentral:rRNA from 1 species
UACGAAGGGGGCGAGCGUUGUUCGGAAUUACUGGGCGUAAAGGGCGCGCAGGCGGCUCUGAAAGUCAGAUGUGAAAGCCCCGGGCUUAACCUGGGAAUUGCAUUUGAUACUCUGGAGCUUGAGUACGGGAGAGGAGAGUGGAAUUCCCAGUGUAGAGGUGAAAUUCGUAGAUAUUGGGAAGAACACCGGUGGCGAAGGCGGCUCUCUGGACCGUAACUGACGCUGAGGCGCGAAAGCGUGGGGGAGCAAACAGGG